UACUCGCGGUCCAAGUCGCAGCCAUUUUUAUUGGGUCUAAAACAUCCGUAGCUUGCUUUGUAAGUUUCCUGUGAAAUUCUAUAUCUUAAGUAUAGAGCGGGCAGGAAGUACUGCAAAGCUAGAGACUGGAAGACGUGAGAAGUACGAAUAAAGUAGCGGUAAAAUGUUUUAAUCUUAUUCGGACUCACAAUAGCGAAGGCAUCUCACGAGGACAGUUCUGACAGUAAGGGAUGAAGGCCAGGGGCGCAAAACGG
rnacentral:rRNA from 1 species